GCUGGGUGUGGUGGUGCACACCUGUGAUCCCAGCUUCCUGGGAAGCUGAGGCAGCAGGAUAGAGAGUUCAAAGCCAGCCUCAGCAAAUUAGACUCUGUCUCUA
rnacentral:sRNA from 1 species